UACGUAGGUGGCAAGCGUUAUCCGGAAUUAUUGGGCGUAAAGAGCGCGCAGGUGGUUAAUUAAGUCUGAUGUGAAAGCCCACGGCUUAACCGUGGAGGGUCAUUGGAAACUGGUUGACUUGAGUGCAGAAGAGGGAAGUGGAAUUCCAUGUGUAGCGGUGAAAUGCGUAGAGAUUAGGAAGAACACCAGUGGCGAAGGCGACUUACUGGACUGUAACUGACGCUGAGGCAUGAGAGCAUGGGGAGCAAACAGG
rnacentral:rRNA from 1 species